ensembl:lncRNA TTN-AS1 TTN antisense RNA 1
UUUCUGGAGGAGUUAGGGGAAGGAGGCUGCCUGGUAAGCCAGGAAAGGGGCUUCUGGCCGUUCUGUUGGAGCGCCUCUGACUGACUUCCCCCAUGUGUCCGUGUGGCCACACCGUGCUACUUUCAGAGGCAGUGGGCUUUUCGCUAAGGGAUAAAAAGAAGUAAAACCUUGCCUUUAGCGCAGCUCUCCUUCACUGGGCAGAUUGCUCUCCCUCCCCACUCUCCCAGGCCCAAAUUGGAUCUCAGCGCCUGGGAGCUCCAACUUUAGCAAGUGCGAAAUCCUGUCUUCGGUUUUGGAAUUUUCAUCCGCACAGACUAUAUCAGCCACGGAUAGGAUAUGUGAGAAUACCAGCAUGUCAAGGCUGGGAAUCAUCCUUAGGCAUCACCUAGCCAGUCCUGCCUCUCAUUUUAAGGUGAUCACAGGAUCUGGUUUGCCACUGAAAGGAAUCUUGAUGCUGACCACUUCACCUCGGAGAGCAUGAACUGCUCCCAUGCCUUCAAGAGUUUUAGUGGGUAACCAGGAUGGAACUGCGGUGUUGCUUGCAGGAGAAGCUUACUACUGGUUUCUACUUCUCCAACCUCAUUGGUGGCUAUGCAGAGAAUAGACGCCUUGAUGGCUCCUCUGGCAGUUCUUGAUGACCAUGGAUGAGCUAAUGGCUGUGGUCUCAAUGGUGGCUUCUUGAGCUAAUUUCAAAUGGUCCAGUGCCUGAGACUUCACACUGAAGUAGAGCAUUUGUUCCUCUCACUAUGUCUGCAGGCUCAAGAGUUUUGAUGAAAGAAGGAGGUUCUACAAAAGCAUGAAAGCAUUGUGUGGACCUUCUUAUUGAUAGCGGACUGCACAGGCUCUAAUUCUUUAAUGAAAUGUGGCUUAUCAAUGAUGAUCAACUCUGCUUGGCAGAUGUCUGCUCCAAACUUGUUGGAAGCCUUACAAGAAUAAACUCCUCUAUCUUGAAUGGUGGAGUCUCGCUAUGUUGCCCAGGCUGGAGAGCAGUGGUGCAAUCCUGGCUUACUGCAACCUCUGCCUCCUGGCUUCAAGCAAUUCUCCUGCCUCAGCCUCCCAAGUAGCUGGGACUACAGGCUCUGCAGUACCUACCUACCAUGUUACUGUCUUGGUUGUUGGUCUCUCCAGUUGGUAAUACAAGCAUUUCCCACACAUGUACAGAAAGCAAAAAGGACAACAAUAUGAAAUGAAGUGACAACAUCUGUGCCAAUGUAUGGCAUUUACCUGUCACAGUUAGUGUGGCUGUACAGCUGACACUGCCAUACUCAUUGGAAGCUUUGCAUGUAUACUCGCCGCAGUCAACCACCUGGGUUCUCAGGAUUUCAAGGCUGGAGAUAUACUUUGAAGAUCGAAUAGAACACUUGUCACUCUCAUAAAUUUCUCGGCCAGCUUUAAACCACUGGAACCGGACAUUGGGAGCACUUUGGAUCUCACAGCAUAUAAGCAUUAGAAGACAGGACUCAAGUGUCUGCUGGCUGUAAAAAUACUGGAGAAACUCAUCUAUAGCAUGCAGAAUACAUAUUCAGUCAUUGUGUACAAUGCAGCUGUAUAGUCCUUGGUCUACCAGCUGAACAUUACAUAUGACUCAGGUUGGCUGUGCUUGAUACUUGGCCUACAGCAUUACUAGCAACAAACGUCUUCUUCCUUUGGUGAACUGAAUGAGGCACCAGGAUACACAUGAACUGCCACUGGACAUGAACUGCACACAAUAAGUGAGUUAACAGAAACCCGGCAUUGAAAACGGGCUGGCUGCCCUUCAGAAGUGACAGUGUCCUGAAGCGGGGUGAUGAUGGCAGGUGGAUAAACAGGCAUUUCCUGAUCAGGAGACACAACUUCUGGAACUAAAGAAAGAAACCACAAGAUUUGUCAUGAUUAAGUCACCAUAGAGACCUCACAGAAGGGAGCAUGACAUCAAUUCCAGAGUGGGACAGCUCAACCUCAAACACCACAUUUUGAGUUUCUGUACAGGUUGUCUUUUUCCCGUCGAUGACAAAGCUGUAUUCUCCCUGGUCCUCCUUGGUUACAUCCUUGACCGUGAGGUUCUGACGUCCACGACGAGAUGUAAUUGUAUAUUUGCCAUUGGAUUUAAGCUCCACAUCAUUAUGAUACCAUUUUCCUUCUAUAUUUUCUGGGGAUACAAUGCACUCUAAUUCUCCUGAAUAUGAUUCUGGAACUUCUAUGUCCUGAAGUUCUUUCACAAACUCAACAACUGCACCUGAAGUGUAUAACAGAAAGAUAAAUCAAUUUUUUUGGAGAGGGGCAAGAAAUAAAAACUUCUGGCAAUUGUUGGUGUUGCCAAUGGUGCAACAUACCAUGAAGAUUAAGGAAACUUAGCAACAGUGAACUUGGACCUUCUAAUAGCUGUCUAACCCCGAGC